UUCUCUGCCUGUGUGGUUGUAUGACUUUAAUACACUAUAUAUGCUUUCCCAAAUGACUUCAUGUCUUAGUCGAGACAAAGUUUUCGUGGUUUUGAAUCUAAUGUUAUGCUUCUUUGCUAUUUGAGAUUACCAUUCACAUGAAUCUAAGAGUUUCGAGUCAACUGAUACGCUAGAGUCGGUCAUGAUGCUAUUUUUCCAUUGUUUCUAUCCUAGUGACUUCUUGUCUCCUCUCUCAUAUUAUUGUUGCGAAUGAAUUUGCUGGGUAUUCCGAUAUGAUUGUUGUUUAGUGUUUAGUUUUUUCGUAUGUAUUUAUCCCGUUUGUCCUGUGUUGUUGGUAGUGUUGAGAUAGUUCUGGGUUAGGACUCAUGCUUGGUUCAAUAUAGUUUUGCCUUCAUCUCGAAUAAUAAUGAGCAUGCCAUUCUUACUUUUCAUGGUCGUGUAAUUUGGAAAUUAUCUAUAAUACGCAUGACUAGUUUGUUUAGCUUACUCGUCUAUUUGUUGUUAGCAAUCAACGAUGUCAGCUGCUAUGAAUGUUUUGUUGGUUUUUACCCAUAUGUGUAUAAGCAUGACAAGUUGAGUAAAAAUGUUUGCCGUAUCUAGUUGUUUAAAUAUAAUAAUAGUCCUAUUGAAAAAAGAAAGAAGGGUGAUUUGGCCUACUACUGUCUCUUAAUGGCACUUUGUCCUUUAGCAUAAUCAAAAUAGCAAUGUUAGGCUCUAUUGGUAAAGUUAAAAUUUGACUUUGGAAUGAGGUGUUUUACUCAAUAAUUAUGCAGCAUGUUUCUUCUCGAUUUUUGAAUCAUUGUGGGUUGUUGACUCGUGUAUUAAUCUGUUCUUAUUUACCCCCCUUUUAUAUAGGCUCCUUAGAUUCUAUAGUUCAUAGGGGUAUGCAUGCCACUGUUAAGUAUUCUAGUGUUGUGCUUUUUAUUUUUGUCAUUUAUUAAGUUAAUUUAGCUUUGUCUCUUUUUUCUUUUUAGUCACUUGUUGUUUUUGGGUCCCAAUAAUUGGAAUGGUUGUAUUCUUGGUUUUCGGUUUUCUAGAUAGCUUUUACUUCGAUUUAAUUGUAUCUCAUUUGUUCUAUUUGGUUCGGAUACUAAUUCUUGCCUCUUUUCUUUUUCUUUGUUGCAUGAAUUGCCUCUUUUCGAGCCUUUGAAGGCUCCCUCUUCUUGCAUUUCGGGGAUUGGGCCUAUAGGGUCCAAUCCCAUAUUUUCUAUCGAGUCAUCAGGUCUGGAAAGUUGAAAUAAGGCUGGAAAUUGAAAUUACGGGUUCCGAAAAAGUCGAAAACAGGCUGUAUACAGCAGUAUACACCGGUAUACAUGGCAAAAAUACUGAUAUACAGGUUCAAAAAAUGAAGUACAGGUCGCAGGGGUCAAGAUAGGCCAUAUACCCUCGGUAUACAUCCCGAUAUACACAAAAAUAGAUCAAAAUACGGCCUAUAUACAUCGAUAUACACCUUUUGUAUACGCAGGUCCUUGGUGCGAAAAUGGGCCCAAAGGGUCCCAAAGGAUGGCCCAGCAUCGAUUUUUGAUUAAAUAGGCCCAAAUUCAUAUUUUGGACCAUUUUAGUAGUAGGACAGGUUCCUAAAGUUGAGCCGAAAACUCAAAUUUGAUAUCUUUCUCCUUCGCUCUUUAUUUGUUUAUUAUGUCGACUAACACUUUGAUUAUCCUAUGGUUUAACUUAAUUAAAUUCCCGAA
rnacentral:lncRNA from 1 species